rnacentral:snoRNA from 1 species
GGGUCUAUGAUGACAAACCAAUCUCAUGAAGAGAGGUGAUGACAUAAAAAUCAUGCUCAC